AUCGGGAACAGGAUCCCAGGGCCAGGAUUACCUGCUGUCCUCGCAGAGAGCAAGUACAGUGGGAACAGGAACACCAGCCUCAGAGAGAGCCUUCAGGAGCCUGCCAGGUUAUAAAACAAGCUUUAAACUCCUGAAAUUCAAAGAUUUGAGCGGGGCACACAAAAAAAGCAAAUUUUCUGUCAUGCUGAGCCGAGUCCUCGUGUGCAAAUGAUGCCACUGGAACCAGCCUUGAGGUUCAUAGAGAAUCUUCUGUGUCAUCUCUGCAAAGCUUCCAAGUCCUGUAUUGAAAUCACUGCCUGUGCCUGUUACACAGAGACUGUGGUUGUGUGGUUGUGUGGGCACUCUGAUUUUCCAGAGUCACUCAGCCCCUCUCCAGGGCCCAAUCCCUCCAGUGAAUGAUGCCAGGAAAGGUUUUCCCAGGCUCUUACACUGCUCUCUAUCUGCCUACACCUGCUGCUGGUGCUGCUCACUUGGUACCUGCAUGGAAAGAAUUCCAGUUUGAGACUGAGGAGCAGAGCCACAUUUAGGAUCCAGCAGAGCCACAUUCAGGAUCCAUCCAGCCUUACCACGUCGAAGUGCCGUCGAUCCAGGGCCAGGAACCUCCCUCCCUUCCCCAGGGAUGAGCUGUUGCUGAGCAGAGCUGUCUUAAGCCCUUCUGCUCGGACACACUGAGCUGCUUCUGCCAUUGUGGGGAGCUGUUUUAUCAUCUCAGCCCGGAUUAAGUCCCAGAGAAAAGAGUCCACUGGAACACGGACAUCUGCCUAAGAAACCAGAGAAACCCCAGGAAUUAUAAUUAGCCAUAAAUGGUUUUUGAGCAGGGAUGAAAAUAAAAGUGGUUGGGUGGGUAGACUGCCUGAUCACCUUAUCUUGCUGUCCUACUUCCUCUGGCAGCAGGAGGCAGGCAGGGGAUAUCCCAGCUACAUGGCUUUGCCCAAAUAAACAAGUGUUCUCACAUUA